UACGUAGGGUGCAAGCGUUAAUCGGAAUUACUGGGCGUAAAGCGUGCGCAGGCGGUGCUUUAAGUCAGAUGUGAAAUCCCCGGGCUCAACCUGGGAACUGCAUUUGUGACUGCAUCGCUGGAGUGCGGCAGAGGGGGAUGGAAUUCCGCGUGUAGCAGUGAAAUGCGUAGAUAUGCGGAGGAACACCGAUGGCGAAGGCAAUCCCCUGGGCCUGCACUGACGCUCAUGCACGAAAGCGUGGGGAGCAAACAGG
rnacentral:rRNA from 1 species